AUGUUUGGCGGGGGUGCUCAACUUGAAGGGCUCCGUUACUCUGAUGCGCAGGGACGUGCUCGCCUUGAACGACUUGGACGCCACCGUCGGCGACAGCGGCCUCGCCCAGUUCCUCGGCGGGGGAGUCACCUGCCAGUUCAUCAGCUCCACCCUCGUCGACCACAGGGAGCUGCUCAUCAACGAGGGCGGCGUCAUCGAGCGUACCAUCUUCCCGGGCAAGCACGCGAUGCCCAUGUCUUCCGCCGCCUACAACAACUGGAACUUCACCGAACAAGCUCUUCCAAACGAUCUAAUCAAGAGGGGCAUGGCAGUGGAGGACCCAUUGAGCCCGUACAAAGUGCGGUUGCUCAUCGAGGACUACCCGUACGCGGCGGACGGGCUGGCCGUCUGGCACGCAAUCGAGCAGUGGGUGGCAGAUUAUCUGGCCAUAUACUACCCCGGCGAGGCGACGGCGUGCUCCAGGGGGACAUGGAGCUACAUGCAUGGUGGAAGGAGGUGCGAGAGGUCGGUCACGGCGACCUCAAGGACGCGGCGUGGUGGCCCACCAUGCAGACGGUGGCGGAGCUGGUCAAGGCCUGCACCACCAUUACCUGGAUCGGGUCGGCGCUGCACGCGGCCGUCAACUUCGGGCAGUACCCUUACUCCGGUUACCACCCCAACAAGCCAUCGGCGAGUAGGUGCCCUAUGCCGGAGCCAGGAUCCAAGGAGUACGCGGAGCUGGAGCGUGACCCGGAGAAGGUAUUCCUUCGCACGAUCACCAGCCCGCUUCACGCCCUCAUCGGCAUCUCGCUGAUAGAGGUACUGUCCAAGCAUACCUCCGACGAGCUCUACCUGGGGCAGCACGAUACGCCGGAGUGGACGUCCGACGCCAGGGCGCUGGAGGCGUUCAAGCGGUUCGGCGCGAGGUUGGAGGACAUCGAGAAACAGGUGGUGGCCAUGAACGCGAACCCACAGCUGAAGAACCGCACGGGACCGGCCAAGUUUCCGUACAUGCUACUCUACCCCAAUACCUCCGACCACAAGGGUGAGGCCAAAGGGCUCACUGCCAGGGGCAUCCCCAAUAGCAUCUCCAUCUGA
rnacentral:rRNA from 1 species